CUACAAAAUCGAUUUUUAUUUCAUUAUCUUUAAUAAACUUGUAUUUUAGACACCAUGAUCAUAUGUUCAGUGCUGUUCUCACAUGUGUUUUUUAGGUUUUCAGCCAUCUCGAUUCCCGUGAGGUAUGUAUACCAUUAUCUAUACAAUAUCUAGCGGAACUACACAGUCACUAUUCAAAAUGUAUCCACAAUGGUUCAUCAGAAAGAUGACAUUUACAGGGUAUUUGAACAGUCUAGCUUUUUAUGAUAUCAAGUAACAGAUUAAGAUGACAACAUUAUUCUUGUUUAUAGGAUUUCUUUGAGAAAACGUAAUGGUGAGCGGGAUGAUGUUUCAGUGGAGGAGAUGGUGAGGGACAGACUUGUUUGUUUGCUUUAUUCUACCAAGGAACAGGACAUAGGAACAUAUCAGGAAAUUGGUGAGGGACAGACUUUUUCGUUGUCGUAUACUAACAAUGAACGGAACAUAGAAACACGUCAGAUUAUGCUUUAACCUAGGAAAUUGGUGAGGGACAGACUUGUUCGUUUGCUUUAAUCUACCAAGGACCAGGGCAUAGAAACAUGUCAGCUGUGAUGAAAUUCAACCGUUUAAGAUUGGGGUACAUCUACCAGACAUAUAGAGUUGUACUUUAGCAGCCCAAAGACACAUCUAAGUAAUCCUGACUGGGCCUUUAAUCUACAUGUACUUCUGUAUUAGCUGUACCUCUGAGCACAACUGGGUAUGCAAAAUUUUAUCCUAGACCAUGCGUGAAAAACAUAUGGAUGAGUAACACUGGAUCAGUGAUACAACAAUUUAUCCUAAACCAUGCAUGAUAAAAAAUGGAUGAGUAAUUCUUGAUCAGAGAUGCAACAUUAUAUUCUAGACCAUGCAUGGAAAAAAGUUAACGAGUACUACUUGACCAGUGAUGCAACAUUAUAUUCUAGACCAUGCGUGAA